GUAGCUUGCUAUGAUAAAAAUUAGUGGCAGACGGGUGAGUAAUGCAUAGGAAUCUACCUAGUAGUAUGGGAUAGCCACUAGAAAUGGUGGGUAAUACUGUAUAAUCCCUGCGGGGGAAAGAUUUAUCGCUAUUAGAUGAGCCUAUGUUAGAUUAGCUAGUUGGUAGGGUAAAGGCCUACCAAGGCAGUGAUCUAUAGCUGGUCUGAGAGGAUGAUCAGCCACACUGGAACUGAGAUACGGUCCAGACUCCUACGGGAGGCAGCAGUGGGGAAUAUUGGACAAUGGGCGCAAGCCUGAUCCAGCUAUGCCGCGUGAGUGAGGAAGGCCUUAGGGUUGUAAAACUCUUUCAGUGGGGAAGAUAAUGACGGUACCCACAGAAGAAGUCCCGGCAAACUCCGUGCCAGCAGCCGCGGUAAUACGGAGGGGGCAAGCGUUGUUCGGAAUUAUUGGGCGUAAAGGGCAUGUAGGCGGUUCGGUAAGUUAAAGGUGAAAUGCCAGGGCUUAACCCUGGAGCUGCUUUUAAUACUGCCAGACUCGAGUCCGGGAGAGGAUAGCGGAAUUCCUAGUGUAGAGGUGAAAUUC
rnacentral:rRNA from 1 species